CCUACGGGUGGCAGCAGUGAGGAAUAUUGGUCAAUGGGCGCGAGCCUGAACCAGCCAAGUAGCGUGAAGGAUGACUGCCCUACGGGUUGUAAACUUCUUUUAUAAAGGAAUAAAGUGAGGCACGUGUGCCUUUUUGUAUGUACUUUAUGAAUAAGGAUCGGCUAACUCCGUGCCAGCAGCCGCGGUAAUACGGAGGAUCCGAGCGUUAUUCGGGUUUAUUGGGUUUAAAGGGAGCGUAGAUGGGUUGUUAAGUCAGUUGUGAAAGUUUGCGGCUCAACCGUAAAAUUGCAAUUGAUACUGGCGGUCUUGAGUACAGUUGAGGUAGGCGGAAUUCGUGGUGUAGCGGUGAAAUGCUUAGAUAUCACGAAGAACUCCGAUUGCGAAGGCAGCUUACUAAACUGCCACUGACAUUGAUGCUCGAAAGUGUGGGUAUCAAACAGGAUUAGAUACCCCAGUAGUC
rnacentral:rRNA from 1 species